UACGUAAGUGGCGAGCGUUAUCCGGAAUUACUGGGCGUAAAGCGUGCGUAGGCGGUUUAGUGUGUGGGAAUUGAAAGCCCGGGGCUCAACUCCGGAUCCGGUUCCCAAACUGCUAGACUCGAGCGUAUCAGAGGAGAGCGGAAUUCCCGGUGUAGCGGUAAUAUGCGUAGAUAUCGGGAGGAACACCAGUGGCGAAGGCGGCUCUCUGGGGUAUUGCUGACGCUGAGGCACGAAAGCGUGGGGAGCAAACAGG
rnacentral:rRNA from 1 species